CUUUGCUUUUCAGUGCGCAGUGACCGACUUCAGAAACUUCAUGAGGCACCAUGUGAACCUAUAGGUAAGUGCCCUUCAAGUCCAACCUUGUAGAUCCCCUAAGAGAUGGAUACCUUCCUUCUUGAGUUGUCGGUACGCCCCAAAACCAUUGGGUUGGCAUAGGUUGAUGACUGGGUGAUAGUCUCCUAUCUUCUUCCUUACUACCAAACCGUUGCUGAGAUAAAUGGUUCUCCAAACGAUAGUCUGUCUGCCUGAGGUCCUCGCUCUUUCGUCCCUAACUUCAAUAGUUUGAAAUCCAUCUUUAAUCGGGCUGCUUUGCGGCGUUCUGUGCACCUGUCUGCCUUGCGUUCCCCAACUUACAUAUUGCCCUUUGCACCCAUUCCCUCACAUCGUGAGCUUCUAGAGGUGAGUCUUGUGUGGGGU